UAGAGCGGCGUGUGUCUCUUUGUGAGAAUUCAUUUUGCAAAAAAAAAAAAAAAAAAAAAAAAAAAAAUCGUUUUGUUGAAACCUUAAUAAUUUCCUCAUUGACAAUUUCGCGAACCACACCUAAAAAUUACACAGCUGCACAGAAAAUAACCGACUACAGCGGUCCCACGCACCGAACCACGCUUGCUUUAAUAGAAACACACGCACACGCACAAGUCGAGACUGCGGCUCGGUUUCUCCCAGGCUGAGAGGGGUUUGAUUAGAGGGAACAAAACUCCUGGAUACUGAGAGAGCGAGCAAGAGAGAGAGAGAAGAGGUGGACAGAGAGAAAGAAACAAACAGACAAGGGAGGGGCCAGGAACCCAGGACACCUGGAUGGAGUAGCUGGAAAGAAGAAUUUAAAAUAAACAGCUGUCCACGGGGGGGGUGGGGUGGGGUACACGUCAAUCAGGGAUUUUAAGAGGGGGAGAGGAGCGGGCUUCAGGCAUGAGCGAUUUCUGGCACAAAAUCGGUUGCUGUGUGGCUGAGAAACCCCAGCCG